rnacentral:rRNA from 1 species
UACGAACGCUGGCGGCAUGCCUAACACAUGCAAGUCGAACGAGAUCUUCGGGUCUAGUGGCGCACGGGUGCGUAACGCGUGGGAAUCUGCCCUUUGGUUCGGGAUAACAGUUGGAAACGACUGCUAAUACCGGAUGAUGACGAAAGUCCAAAGAUUUAUCGCCAGAGGAUGAGCCCGCGUAGGAUUAGCUAGUUGGUGUGGUAAAGGCGCACCAAGGCGACGAUCCUUAGCUGGUCUGAGAGGAUGAUCAGCCACACUGGGACUGAGACACGGCCCAGACUCCUACGGGAGGCAGCAGUGGGGAAUAUUGGACAAUGGGCGAAAGCCUGAUCCAGCAAUGCCGCGUGAGUGAUGAAGGCCUUAGGGUUGUAAAGCUCUUUUACCCGGGAUGAUAAUGACAGUACCGGGAGAAUAAGCUCCGGCUAACUCCGUGCCAGCAGCAGCCGCCG